CAGCCGCCGCGGUAAUACGUAGGUGGCAAGCGUUGUCCGGAAUUAUUGGGCGUAAAGGGCUCGCAGGCGGUUUCUUAAGUCUGAUGUGAAAGCCCCCGGCUCAACCGGGGAGGGUCAUUGGAAACUGGGAAACUUGAGUGCAGAAGAGGAGAGUGGAAUUCCACGUGUAGCGGUGAAAUGCGUAGAGAUGUGGUGGAACACCAGUGGCGAAGGCGACUCUCUGGUCUGUAACUGACGCUGAGGAGCGAAAGCGUGGGGAGCGAACAGGAUUAGAUACCCCCGUAGUCCCUGUCUCUUAUAC
rnacentral:rRNA from 1 species